AAUAGUGGUGAUUAUUUUGAUAGUCAAGUGAAGGGGUAUGAGACCAUAUUGGACAAUCCAUUUAAUUCUGGAGUCAUUAAAAAAGUUAAGAACCUCUGGUCUAACAACAUGAGAUAUUUGACUUUAGUAAAAAACUACAACUUUUUACCAGAGGCAGUUAUUGGAAUUAGCUUGCUAAUUGCCUUCUUCAUGUAAAAGUUACAAACACAAUCUUUAUUAGAUUUAGAAUUAAUCCAAUCUUCUUGCCAUUUAGGCAAUGAACUGGAAGUCAUUUGAAAUACUUCACAAAAUUCUGGAAAAUUUUCAAACAAUAAUGAUGACAUAGCAUAAUCAAGAAAUUUUAAAUAAGAUUAAUCAAAACAGGGAGGAAGAAUUCCCUCUGUAGGCAAUUGUGGAUGGCCUCUGUUAGUAGAUACCUGUACUACUUCUAUCUUUGUUGAAUUAAUCCCAUAUUAAACAAACUAUAGUUAAUCAAAUAUCAUGCCUGUUAGCAGCAAGGAUAAUUUUCUCAAAAGAAUAAUCAAAUUCCCUUUCAAUAUCAAGGAAAUCAUCUAAGGCAAUUUCAAAUUGUAACCAGUUGUUCUUUCAUUGAGAGAUACCACUUCAUGAAGGAGAAGAGCUGUUUCAAUCAGCCUAUCUGCCUAAUUGAUAGACAAAUACAAUGGAAAUUUUAUUAAAGAAUGUUUAAAUAAAAAUCUGCCCAGCAGUUUUAUUAAAGACUAUGAAGAGCAUAGUCUUUAAUAAAUGAUUGAAUAAUAUAUCUGUAGAGCUAAUUAUGAUUAGAUAAAUAGCAGAAAAUACUCUAUUGCAUUCAUCCAGUGGUCUAUUUUUCAUUCCUAACAAAAUUAUCCCAUCAGAAGUUCUGUUUUCAACAUGAAAGACAGUAUCUAUCUUAGUAGAACCAUAAAAAGAUCAUGAUAUCACUAAAAUUACUCUCCUAUAUAACAACAAAAAUAUCAAAUAAAAGAAGGCAAAAAUUAAAUUAAGAAGGCAAAAAAAAAAUUUUAAAGCAAAAUAAAAUUAUUUUUUAUUUAUAAUAAUAAAAUUUGUUGUUAUUACUUAAAGUUAAAAAAAUAUGCAUAUACCAGUAGAUAAGCAUUUGCAGAAAUUAUAUGGAGGAGAAAAUUAAUUUAUGCUAAUAAUAUAUUUAAUUGGUUGUCAUGAUGGUAGAGAUAAUGUGAUAGUGCUGGAUCUGUGAUUAUUGUUCAUUUAACAAGAAAUAAAUUUCCUCCUAACUGUACUGUAUUUUUAUUACUGAAUAAGAUUGUUAAUCAUUAAUCUACUAGCAGUUUUUAAUCUCUACUCUUCAGUUAAAGCAAUGAAUGUAUUUUAAAAUAAACUAUUAACAUAUAAAGUUUUUUCCAACUUUGCCUAAGAACAACAUUAUUAAUAAAAUGAUUACUAUGGAAGAGAAGUUUAUUUUAGUGUCAGGUUUGAUAAUUUUGCAUUUAAUUUUAAAAAUGCUUUUAAAAUCUUUGUAUUAUAUUGUAAAAGUGAAAGUAGAAACACUUAAAGAUAUUCUGCUGCAAGGAAAUACAACUAUAGAAGAUCAUAUUAUAGUUGUGAAAGGAAGGACAUUCAUACAAUCUGUAAAUUUCAUCUCUUCUCUAAUAUUUGUUCAUCAUAUAAUUUUGCUUUGAAAUGUGUUCAGGCUUAGGAAAAAAUGAUUCUUUUACAUGGCUUCAGGGCCAAGAAUAGAAGCAGAAUUUAAAUAUUUGAAAACAUGACAAAAGAGAAACCAAACAAUCAUUGCCCUGCUGUAAAACAUUAGCAAAAUACCUCAGUUAGAUGAUUCGAAGAGCUUUGUUAUUUAUAGCCCACAUUUAAUAUUUUAUUCAAAUAAUUAUUCUUUUGACCUGUUUCUAAUCCUCCUUCAGGCAGGGUAAAUCCUAUCUAUUAAAACUCAUUUCACCUGAAUAAAUCAGGUUAUCUGGAAAAUGUAUUUGAAUGAGCACUUUAAAAUUAUAUAAGUAUUAUUAAAAUUUACAUUAGUUAUCUUUAUAAUAUUUCUUUAUAACUCUCCUCAAGCUACUCAAGCUCACAAGCUCUAGUCAAGCUACAUGUAUUUCUUCAAUCCUCUGAAAUAUCUUUUCGAGGAAGAACUUUUAUCUUUUUAAAGCUAUUGCUAUAACAAAUGAGAAUAUUCUUAUAUAUAUCUCAUUCAUCUAUUUUCUUAGCUUUUAUUAAAAAAAACCUUCUUUGAUAGACUAGCA
rnacentral:lncRNA from 1 species